UCCCUGGCAGUCCAGUGGUUAGGACUUGGCGUUUUCACUGCUAUGGCUCAAGUUUGAUCCCUGGUCAGGGAA
rnacentral:tRNA from 1 species